AUGCCAAAGCAGGUCACACAUGAGGGAUGCAAACAUAUGUUAGAGGGAGUCAGAGAAGCUGCACUGCAUCUUAGUCAUCAAUCACUCAUCAGUCCAUAUCAAAAUUUCCAUGCAAUUCAAACAAACGAUGUUACUGCUUCUGAAGAUGAACAAGAGACAGGGGUCGACUACUGCUGCUUGAAGAAGAACGGAGGCUGCGAGGGCUAUCAGGAGAGGCCGAGAUGGUCGGGAAGCAGGCAAGAGGCCUUGCUGUGGGGAGGUGUCGUCGUCGACCUUCUGUACUCGCCAGCGCGACCUGCCCUCCCUUCUUACGUGACCUGUCGUGUGUCCCGCACUGUGCUACGGCGCGCUCAAGUCUAG
rnacentral:rRNA from 1 species